GCUGCGGGAGAGUUCGGCGGUCCCACGACACGCCGGCGCCGAAGGAGCAACCGCCCCGGAAACUCUCAGGCAUCCGGACCG
rnacentral:ncRNA from 1 species